GAUGAACGCUGGCGGCGUGCCUAAUACAUGCAAGUCGAGCGAACAGACGAGGAGCUUGCUCCUCUGACGUUAGCGGCGGACGGGUGAGUAACACGUGGAUAACCUACCUAUAAGACUGGGAUAACUUCGGGAAACCGGAGCUAAUACCGGAUAAUAUAUUGAACCGCAUGGUUCAAUAGUGAAAGACGGUUUUGCUGUCACUUAUAGAUGGAUCCGCGCCGCAUUAGCUAGUUGGUAAGGUAACGGCUUACCAAGGCAACGAUGCGUAGCCGACCUGAGAGGGUGAUCGGCCACGCUGGAACUGAGACACGGUCCAGACUCCUACGGGAGGCAGCAGUAGGGAAUCUUCCGCAAUGGGCGAAAGCCUGACGGAGCAACGCCGCGUGAGUGAUGAAGGUCUUCGGAUCGUAAAACUCUGUUAUUAGGGAAGAACAAAUGUGUAAGUAACUAUGCACGUCUUGACGGUACCUAAUCAGAAAGCCACGGCUAACUACG
rnacentral:rRNA from 1 species